GAGGGAGUCACACACUGUUAAACUGCAGCUGGAUGUGAUGAUACAAUCUGGGAUUGUAUAGAAGGCGGGAAAAACUGCUGCUUUUACUACUGCUAUUGGUUGUGCUUUAACAUCAUGAGUGAGAUGGGAAGUCACCCAACACAUCCAUGUGUAUUUUAUGUAUGCGUCGUCAAAAAUGAAGAAAUUACUACAACUUAGAAAGUGUGGACCAUCUGCUGUUGAUGUUGAUGUUAUACAGAGCUGUGACAUCAUGACCAUGUCAGUAAAUUGAAGAUAAAUAAAGACUUGGAUUAUCCCAUGGGAAUGUGUCAGUAGUAAAAUUCUGUAGUAUACAGAGGGAUCUGGAUGGUAACACAUUCUGAUCUACUCAGUUUAGAGUCAACGGUGACUAAUUGGUUUUCCUUGUGUGAGUGAAGGUCAAGGAGUUGGUUUCUACCUGUGAGUGUGUCAAAAGUUAGCAGGCAGCCAGACCACCAUGAAGUACUAAAACUGAGUUUGACCUGCACGGCAAAUGGUGGGAGAUGCCUAAAAGUUGAUGUUCCCGUAGAAAGAUAGGGAACCCAUUUGGGUCAUUUUGGGGACAAGACCUAAAGUUGACCGCAGCCAAGUUAGAUGAGUUAUGGGAGGUGAGCAGGGAGACAUUUGAACUCCUCUUUUAUUCGAUUGGAUAAUUUACCAAAGUGACCAACUAGAAGAAGUGGGUGUACUGUAGUUGUAGGUGUACUUUUAGGAUUCCUAAGAUCAAAGGCUCAACAGGACUUCUGAAAGGACAGAGGGCGAAGCAUUUUGGCAUUGCUUUUGCCAUAGAUUUGAGAAUACCAGCAAGCGGCCGCUUCUGGAUCAGACGCAGGCUUGAGAUCUGUUUCAGUAAAGAUUGCUCUAUCAUUCCACCCAGCCUUGCCUCCACACAGAAUCCUUUUAUCAUCAAACUACAUGCUGACACCUUUGAGGAAGAGAGCCCAGGAACUACAAUACAGUUGUCAGAUUUCAAUUCAUCAGACAGUUGAUUGAUCUUCCAUCAGCCUGAAUGUAAACAGACCACAGCAAGAGGAGGAGCUACACAACUGAAUAUGAAAGGCUUCAUUUUAGAAGUGAAGAGCUGCUGUGUUCUCUCUGUUCUUCAUUCACUACAGCUGAAGAUAAUGCAGCUCUUUUUAAUCUGGAUGAUGAUCUUCAUGUUUCAUGCUGGAUCCUCUGAGGAUUUAGUGAAACCAUUUAAAGAUGUAAUGCUGGCUGUGGAAGGAGACACUGUGACUCUCUCCUGCAACUAUUCAGGCUCUGCUGACUACAUCUACUGGUAUCAACAGAAGUCCAGUUCAUCUCCACAGU